rnacentral:rRNA from 1 species
GACGAACGCUUUCUUCUUUCUUAACACAUGCAAGUCGAACGGAAAGGCCCUGCUUUUGUGGGGUGCUCGAGUGGCGAACGGGUGAGUAACACGUGAGUAACCUGCCCUUGACUUUGGGAUAACUUCAGGAAACUGGGGCUAAUACCGGAUAGGAGCUCCUGCUGCAUGGUGGGGGUUGGAAAGUUUCGGCGGUUGGGGAUGGACUCGCGGCUUAUCAGCUUGUUGGUGGGGUAGUGGCUUACCAAGGCUUUGACGGGUAGCCGGCCUGAGAGGGUGACCGGCCACAUUGGGACUGAGAUACGGCCCAGACUCCUACGGGAGGCAACAGUGGGGAAUAUUGCACAAUGGGCGGAAGCCUGAUGCAGCAACGCCGCGUGCGGGAUGACGGCCUUCGGGUUGUAAACCGCUUUCGCCUGUGACGAAGCGUGAGUGACGGUAAUGGGUAAAGAAGCAACGGCUAACUACGUG